rnacentral:rRNA from 1 species
UGGGGGAUAUUGCACAAUGGGCGAAAGCCUGAUGCAGCGACGCCGCGUGGGGGAUGAAGGCCUUCGGGUUGUAAACUUCUUUUGCUCUGAACAAGGCGCACCAUGGGGUGUGUUGAGUGUAGGGGUUGAUUAGCGCCGGCUAACUACGUGCCAGCAGCCGCGGUAAUACGUAGGGCGCGAGCGUUGUCCGGAAUUAUUGGGCGUAAAGGGCUUGUAGGUGGCUGGUUGCGUCUGUCGUGAAAGCUCAUGGCUUAACUGUGGGUUUGCGGUGGGUACGGGCUGGCUUGAGUGCAGUAGGGGAGGCUGGAAUUCCUGGUGUAGCGGUGGAAUGCGCAGAUAUCAGGAGGAAUACCGGUGGCGAAGUCGGGUCUCUGGGCUGUUACUGACACUGAGGAGCGAAAGCAUGGGGAGCGAACAGG